rnacentral:rRNA from 1 species
CCUACGAGUGGCAGCAGUGGGGAAUAUUGGGCCAUGGGCGCAAGCCUGACCCAGCAACUCCGCGUGAAGGACGACGGCUUUCGGGUUGUAAACUUCUUUUAAGAGGGAAGAGCAGAAGACGGUACCUCUUGAAUAAGAUACGGCUAACUACGUGCCAGCAGCCGCGGUAAUACGUAGGUGGCAAGCGGUGUCCGGAUUUACUGGGUGUAAAGGGCGUGCAGCCGGGAAGACAAGUCAGAUGUGAAAUCCCGCGGCUCAACCGCGGAACUGCAUUGGAAACUGUUUGUCUUGUGUACCGGAGAGGUCAGCGGAAUUCCUGGUGUAGCGGUGAAAUGCGUAGAGAUAAGGAAGAACACCAGUGGCGAAGGCGGAUGACUGGACGGCAACUGACGGUGAGGCGCGAAAGCGUGGGGAGCAAACAGGAUUAGAUACCCGAGUAGUC